rnacentral:lncRNA from 1 species
UGUGCACAUCCAGGCAUAGUACCUUCCCUUGAACUUAUUUGUGACACAGAUUCCUUUGCUCACAUGUUUUCUUGCCAACCUUCUCCCCGCUAUCACCCUGUUCUGCCACAUUCCCCUUGCUGAGAUAGUGAAAAUAAUAAUCAGUAAAUACUGAGGGAACUCAGAGACGGGGGCCGGUGCAGGUCCUCUGUAUGCUGAGCGCCAGUCUCCUGGGCCCCACUGUUCUUUCUCUAUACUUUGUCUCUGUGUCUUAUUUCUUUUUUUAGUCUCUCGUCCCACCUGACGAGAGAUACCCACAGGUGUGGAGGGGCAGGCCACCCCUUCAUCUGCCGCCAAUGUGGGUGCCUUUCUCUAAGGUGAAGGUACAUUAAGAACGUGAGCAUUGAGGACAGUCGACGAGAGAUUCCCGAGUACGUCCACCGUCAGCCUUGCGUUUCUACAGUUUAAACCGUGGUGGAUCGAUGGAGUACAAGAACAGGUACGAAAAAAUCAGGUUACUAACCCCACUGUUAAUAUAGAUGCAGACCAAUUGCUAGGAACAGGUCCAAAUUGGAGCACCAUUAACCAACAAUCAGUAAUGCAGAACACCUGUUGAACACCUAAGGGCUAUUGAACACCUAAGGGCUAUUUGCCUCAGGGCCUGGGAAAAAAUUCAGGACCUGGGAACCACCUGCCCUUCUUUUAAUUCAAUUAGACAAGUCUCUAAAGAGCCAUAUCCAGACUUUGUGGCAAGGUUGCAAGAUGCUGCUCAAAAAUCUGUUACAGAUGAUAACGCCCGAAAAGAUAUUGUAGAAUUAAUGGCCUAUCAAAAUGCAAAUCCAGAAUGUCAAUCGGCCAUAAAGCCAUUAAAAAGAAA